rnacentral:rRNA from 1 species
UACGAAGGGGGCUAGCGUUGCUCGGAAUUACUGGGCGUAAAGCGCACGUAGGCGGUCUUUUAAGUCGGGGGUGAAAUCCUGGAGCUCAACUCCAGAACUGCCUUCGAUACUGGAAGACUUGAGUCCGGGAGAGGUGAGUGGAACUGCGAGUGUAGAGGUGAAAUUCGUAGAUAUUCGCAAGAACACCAGUGGCGAAGGCGGCUCACUGGCCCGGUACUGACGCUGAGGUGGCGAAAAGCGU